rnacentral:lncRNA from 1 species
AUGGGGGGAGGCCGGGCCUGCGGACCGACGGCGCUGCGGGGCCGAGACGCCUGUGCAGGUGCGGACCGGCCCGAGGGUCGGGGGCGCGCCGGAGGCCUGUGCUGGUGGCCGAGGCUGGACGCCGUCGACGAAAGGGCGGGUGGGCGGCGGCUGCGGGGUGGCCCAGGUGAGCCGCCGACCUCAAGUGCUCUCGCCCUGGGCACUCAGGAGGUGUCCUGGGACCUCGAGCUCUCACUGUGCACCCUCAGGAGGGGUCCUCGGACCUCGAGCUCCAUCUGGGCCCUCGGGAGGUAUCCUGGGACCUCGAGCUCUCACUGUGCACCCUCAGGAGGUGUCCUGGGACCUCGAGCUCUCCCUCUGGGCCCUCAAGAGGUGUCCUGGGACCUCGAGCUCUCACUGUGCACCCUCAGGAGGUGUCCUGGGACCUCGAGCUCUCCCUCUGGGCCCUCAAGAGGUGUCCUGGGACCUCGAGCUCUCACUGUGCACCCUCAGGAGGUGUCCUGGGACCUCGAGCUCUCCCUCUGGGCUCUCGGGAGGUGUCCUGGGACCUCGAGCUCUCCCUCUGGGCCCUCAAGAGGUGUCCUGGGACCUCGAGCUCUCACUGUGCACCCUCAGGAGGUGUCCUGGGACCUCGAGCUCUCCCUCUGGGCCUCGGGAGGUGUCCUGGGACCUCGAGCUCUCCCUCUGGGCCCUCGGGAGGUGUCCUGGGACCUCGAGCUCUCCCUCUGGGCCCUCAAGAGGUGUCCUGGGACCUCGAGCUCUCACUGUGCACCCUCAGGAGGUGUCCUGGGACCUCGAGCUCUCCCUCUGGGCCCUCGGGAGGUGUCCUGGGACCUCGAGCUCUCGCCCUGGGCCCUCGGGAGGUGUCCUGGGACCUCGAGCUCUCACUGUGCACCCUCAGGAGGUGUCCUGGGACCUGGAGCUCUCUCCCUCUGGGCCCUCAGGAGGUGUCCUGGGACCUCGAGCUCUCACUGUGCACCCUCAGGUGGUGUCCUGGGAGUAAGAACCUAG